rnacentral:rRNA from 1 species
GCACGAGACCGAUAGCGAACAAGUACCGUGAGGGAAAGAUGAAAAGAACUUUGAAAAGAGAGUUAAAGAGUACCUGAAACUGUUGAAAGGGAACCGUAUCGUUUCUAGUGUUUAUCCUAUGCAUAUUUCAUUGGCGGUUGCAAAAUUGCUGGUGCCCUGUGUGUAGGUGUGACGUCAGAGUCAGUUUGAAUUGCGGGAGAUGGGUAGUGAGGAGGUGCGUCACUUUUGUGAAAGUUACAGCUCGCUGCCUAGUAGCCGUGGUUGAGACUGAGGUGCCUAC